CUCAGGAGCAGGUUAUUUAAUUUCAAUAUCUUUGUAUAGUUUUGAUGGUUCUUUUUGGAAUUGAUUUCCAAUUUUAUUCCAUUGUGAUCUGAGACAGUGUUUGAUAUAAUUUUGAUUUUCUUAAAUUUACUGACUUGUUUUGUGACCCGUGAUAUGGUCUAUCUCCGAGAAUGUUCCACAUGCUGAUGAGAAGAAUGUUCUGCAGUUGUUGGGUAGAAUGUUCUGUAAAUAUCUGUUAGGUCAAUUUGUUCUAGGGUAUAGUUUAAGUUAAUUGUUUCUUUGGUGAUUUUCUGUUUUGGUGACCUGUCUAGUGCUGUCAGUGGAGUAAUAAAGUCCCCUACUUUUAUUGUGUUGCCAUCUAUCUCAUUUCUUAGGUCUAGUAGUAAUUGUUUUACAAAUUUCAGAGCUCUAGUGUUAAGUGCAUAUAUAUUUAGAAUUGUGAUAGUUUCCUUUUGGACUAGUCUUUUUAUCAUUAUAUAAUGUCUCUCUGUCUUUUUUAAACUGCUGUUGCUUUAAAGUUUGUUUUGUCUGACAUAAGAAUAGCUACUCCUGCUUCCUUUUGGUGUCCAUUUACAUGGAAUGUCUUUUUCCACCCCUUUAUCUUAAGUUUAUGUGAGUCCUUAUGUGUUAGGUGAGUUUCCUGAAGACAGCAGAAACUUGUUGGUGAAUUCUUAUCCAUUUUGCAAUUCUGUAUCGUUUAAGUGGGGCAUUUAGGGCAUUUACAUUCAAUGUUGGUAUUGAGAUAUGAGGUACUGUUCUAUUCAUCAUGCUAUUUGUUGCCUGAAUACCUUGUUUUUUUUUCUUUCAUUUUGUUAUUGUUAUAUAGGUCCUGUGAGAUUUAUGCUUUAAGGAGGUUCUACUUUGGUGUAUUUCAAGGAUUUGUUUCAAGAUCUAGAGCUCCCUUUAGCAGUUCUUGUAGUGCUGACUUGGUAGUGGCAAAUUCUUUCAGCAUUUGUUUGCCUGGAAAAGACUGUAUCUUUCCUUCAUUUAUGAAGCUUAGUUUUGCUGGAUACAAAAUUCUUGGCUAAUAAUUGUUUUGUUUAGGGAGGCUAAAGAAUAGGACUCCGAUCCCUUCUAGCUUGUAAGGUUUCUGCUGAGAAAUCUGCUGUUAAUCUGAUAGGUUUUCUUUUAUACGUUACCUGAUGCUUUUGCCUCACGGCUCUCAAGAUUCUUUCCUUCGUCUUGACUUUAGAUAACCUGAUGACUAUGUGCCUAGGUGAUGAUCUUUUUGUGAUGAAUUUCCCAGGUGUUCUUUGAGUUUCUUGUAUUUGGAUGUCUAGGUCUUUAGCAAGGCCAAGGAAGUUAUCCUCGAUUAUUCCCUCAAAAAUGUUUUCCAAACUUUUAAAUUUCUCUUCUUCCUCAGGAAUACCAAUUAUUCUUAGGUUUGGAUGUUUAACAUAGUCCCAAACUUCUUGGAGGCUUUUUUUAUUAUUCUUUUUUCUUUGUCUUUAAUGGAUUGGAUUAACUCAAAAGCCUUGUCUUUGACCUCUGAAGUUCUUUCUUCUUGCUCAAUGCUACUCCUGAGACUUUCCAGUGUAUUUUGCACUUAUCUAAGUGUCUCCUUGAUUUCCAGAAGUUGUGAUUGUUUUUUAUUUAUGCUAUCUAUUUCACUGAAUAAUUUUCCUUUCAUGAACUAUAUAAUCUUUUUUUAAAAUUUCUUUAAGUUGGGCUUCACCUUUCUCUGGUGCCUCCUUGAUUAGCUUGAUAUCAAUCUUCUGAAUUCUUUUUCUGGCAAUUCAGAUAUUUCAUCUUGCUUUGGAUCCAUUGCUGGUGAGCUGGUAUGAUCUUUUGGGGGUAUUAAAGAACCUUGUUUUGUCAUACUACCAGAAUUGUUUUUCUGGUUCCUUCUCAUUUGGGUAGACUAUGUUAGAGGGAAGAUAUGGGAUUCAAGAGCUGCUAUUCAGAUUCUUUUGUCCCAUAGGGUGCUCCCAUGAUGUAGUGUUCUCCCCCUUCUCCUAGGAAUGGUAUAAACCAAACUGUAGUGAUCGUUUUUGAUGUUCUGGGUCUAGCCACCCAGCAGAGCUAUGAGCUGGUACUGGGGAAUGUCUGCAAAGAGUCCUGUGAUGUGAUCUGUCUUUAGGUCUUGCAGCUGUGGAUACCAGCACUUGCUCUGGUGGAGGUAGCAGCGGGGUGAAGUGGACUCUGUGAGGGUCCUUGGUUGUGUUUUUGUUUAGUGCACUGGUUUUGUGUUGGUUGGCCUUCAGCCAGGAGGUGGCGCUUUCAAGAGCACAUCAGCUAUGGGCCUACAGGGAGGAUGCAAAUUUGCCCUAGGGACACCUGGUUAAGUAUUCAGAUUUCUUGGGCAGUGGGUAGGGCAAUAGAGCUCCCAAGAGAUUAUGUCCUUUGUCUUCAGCUACCAGGGUGGGCAGAGAAAGAUCACCAGGUAGUCACAGAGAUAGGUGUGUCUUAGCUCAGCCCUUCCUCGGGCAGGGCUUGCUGCGGCUGCUGUCGGGGAUGGGGGUGUGGUGCCCAGUCCAAUAAGAGUUAUAUUCCCGGGAGAAUAUGGCGCCUCUGCUGAGUCAUACAAGUCGCCAGGGAAGUGGAGGAAAGCCAGCAGUCACAGGCCUCACCCCACUCACACACAGCCCACAGUCCGAAAGUCUGCUCUCACUACUACCGUGCUCCCCAUCAACAGCACCGAGUCUAUUUCCAGAGAGCUGGUGACCAGGGCUGAGAACUUUCCCCAGACCAUGAAGUCUCUCCACUAAGAAAGCAAGCAAACAGCUUUUCAGCAUUUCAGGGAACCUGCAGCAGUGACCCAGUUCCUUCAAAGGGUCUUUGGAUUCUCUCGGCUUUUCUGUAAAACAGAGCAAAAUGCCAGGCGCGGUGGCUCACUCCUGUAAUCCCAGCACUUUGGGAGGCCGAGGCGGGCGGAUCACGAGGUCAAGAAUUCAAGACCAGCCUGGCCAACAUGGUGAAACCCCAUCUCUACUAAAAAUACAAAAAUUAGCUGGGCAUGGUGGCAGGUGCCUGUAAUCCCAGCUACUCAGGAGGCUGAGGCAGGAGAAUCACUUGAAAUCAGAAGGCGAAGGUUGCAGUGAGCCAAGACUGUGCCACUGCACUCCAGCCUGGGUGAAAGAGCAGAACUCCAUCUCAAAAAAAAAAAAAAAAAAAAAAAGAGCAAAAUAACUUACUAAAAUAUAAAAUAUAAAGAUGAGAGCUGAGUAAGUCAGCUCACAUGGACAAUUGCUUUAGGAAAAAAUACUUGAAGUACAUCCUUUAAUUCUCUGGUUUCUUGCUUUUACUUAGAUUUUGGCCCAGCAGUUUUUUGGUCUCUUGUCAGUCAGCCCCUCAAUCCUUUGAAUAAAGAAUUUUAAAAUUUAUCUAGCAUUCUAAAUUGUUUUAAGUAACGGAGUUGAUCACAAAAAACCUGAAAGCUUGCUCCCUUAUUUCCUUUUUAGUUUUAAGUUUACCUUAUCAGUGAGGCCUUCCUUAUCCACACUUUAUUUUUAAAAUCUCCUAUACCCCUCCCUACCCUCCUUUGUCUUAUUUUUUUCACAGCCAUUAUCAUCUGUGUAUCAACUGUAUAUUUACUUGUUUAUUUUCCAUCUCACCUGCACUAGAAUGUAAGUUCCAUGAAGAAAGGGGCUGUUUUAUUCUCAUUGCCAAAAACAGUGCCUGGCAGACAAUAAACAAUAUUUGUUGAAUCAAUGAAGAAAAGCUCUCCACUGAGCUCCAUACUGAAGUAUCCUACUGUCAACUUGAAAUCAAAUAGGUUUUUCACUCUUAGACACAAUAAAACUUUUGAUUUUCUGUCCACCCCCAACACCAUCCCAGCUUUCCUAUUCCUCAUUUCAGUAAAUAGCACCACGUUCUUUCAGUUACUAAAUCAGAAACUUGAGUCAUUUGUAGUUCUUCCUUUUCCCUCAAAACCUAGAUCCAAUUCAUCAGCAAGGUCUAUAGGUCAAAC
rnacentral:lncRNA from 10 species